CAUUUUCCAGUACAAUGCGACAAAGGUGUGAACAUGAAGUAAAUAAUCGUUGAGGAGUUUUCAUUUAAAUUUCUGCAUACCAGAGAAAAAUGGUCUAUUUCCUUAUGAAUUUCAUCCCAAGAGGCUUGAUACAGAGUGACCAAGGUUCAAUCCUGGGGAGGUCAGAAGCUACAGUUAGCAGAGGAGGAGACAUGCUAAGACGAGAAAGAUGAUGAAGCCCUUCUGUUUCUACCCCUUUGCAUUUGAACAAACCCCUAUACUGAAGCUACCUAGAGGCUGCCAGCUACCACUCAUACACAUUAGCAUACAUAAAAACAUCACUUUGGAGAUGCUAAGAAUUUUAGGAGUUGUAUGUCAGAAAACUUGGGGUCAAAGACCAAAUAUGUGUUUUAAAAUAUCACAAUAUGCUUCUAUCAAUGAGAGACACAUGAACUAAGAUUACCAGAAUUAUGCAAUGAAGCCUUCUGAAGAACAUGGACCUUGCCCCUGUUUGCAUCAAUGUCCUGAGUAUACAGAACAAUGCCUGGCACAGAGCUGGCUGCCCAUUAUUUUUUGUUGAGUGUGAAUGAGGAUAAGAGGACCUCUUGAGCAAAACUGGUACAUAGGAGAUGAUAAAUCUAAGCAGCCCUUCAUGAUGAUAUGAAGAG
rnacentral:lncRNA from 1 species